rnacentral:rRNA from 1 species
GACGAACGCUGGCGGCGUGCCUAAUACAUGCAAGUCGAACGCUUCUUUCCUCCCGAGUGCUUGCACUCAAUUGGAAAGAGGAGUGGCGUACGGGUGAGUAACACGUGGGUAACCUACCCAUCAGAGGGGGAUAACACUUGGAAACAGGUGCUAAUACCGCAUAACAGUUUAUGCCGCAUGGCAUAAGAGUGAAAGGCGCUUUCGGGUGUCGCUGAUGGAUGGACCCGCGGUGCAUUAGCUAGUUGGUGAGGUAACGGCUCACCAAGGCCACGAUGCAUAGCCGACCUGAGAGGGUGAUCGGCCACACUGGGACUGAGACACGGCCCAGACUCCUACGGGAGGCAGCAGUAGGGAAUCUUCGGCAAUGGACGAAAGUCUGACCGAGCAACGCCGCGUGAGUGAAGAAGGUUUUCGGAUCGUAAAACUCUGUUGUUAGAGAAGAACAAGGACGUUAGUAACUGAACGUCCCCUGACGGUAUCUAACCAGAAAGCCACGGCUAACUACGUG